rnacentral:lncRNA from 1 species
AAGAGAGUCUAGACUGUGUUCAUCUCUUUAUUCAGCGUGUCCUCUCUGGUGCCUCUUCCCAAGAUUUCGCACAAUCCCAAAUCUGUAAUUAGAGAAGUAGUAAGACACUUUUUUAAAAGUCCGUUUAGCCCACAACACUGUCAUCUCCAUGCACACAGGAUGCACAUUCUCACUCCUCACAAGGUGGCACAAAUAGGGUGCACAAUGAGUAAUUAUUUGGUUGAAUAAAAAAAUAUGAACUAUACCAAAGUGAAAGAAUAAAAUAAAUAUUAAUAACAGCAGCUAACAAUUAUACAGUCUUAUUCUCCAGAGAGAAAUUUGGGUCCUUGGUUGGCUGAAUCAGUGGCUGCAAAACUUGUGGACACAACUCAGUGGUAUUCAUUGUGCUACGUGAUUUUAUAUUAGAGACUUGAGCAUCCAUGAAUUUUGGUAUCUGUGGGGGCUCCUAGAAACAAUACCCUACAGUCAGUGAGGGAAGACUGUACAGAUGUUAACUAUGUGUCAGGAACUGGUUCUAAGGCCUUACAAAUGUUAACUCAUUUAUUUAUCCCCAUGAACCUAAAGUACAAAAUUAUAUCCACUUUACAGUUGAGGAAAGUGAGGCACAGUGGGAUUCAGUUGCUUAGGGCCACACUUUGGUGAUACAGCCAGGAUUCAAACCCAGGCAGCCUAUAUUCUAGAGUCUCUUUCCUUACCAACUAUAUUAUAUAGUGCCUGGCCAGUGGCAGAGGUUGGCCAAUUGUCCUUAUUUCAUAAAUGACCAUCCCAGCAACCAUCCCUCGGAGGAGAGCAACCACUGCCACUGCUUUUCUGGAAUGACUACCAAGAGCCAGGCACUGUCCUAAUAAGCACGUUACGUGCUAUUUCAUCUAGUACAACAAAUUAUUUACCCCACAGAUUAAAUAUCAGGCACAGAAAGGUGAAUCAACUUGCCCAAGGUCACACAGCGAAGAACUGGCACAGCUAGAUCUCAGUUGAGCUCUAUCUUCCAGUGAAGUAUAAGCUCUUAAUUACCACAUAAUGAUUCCUUCUACUUGGAAAGUUAUAUACUUUUUAAAACUUGUCUAACAUGUAUGGCAAGAAUACUCUGAAGCAAUUUCUUGGACCCUGGUUUUCACUGCUCUCUUCAUACUGCCCUAGAAUGCUAUUUAGUCUCACCUCUUACAACAAAGUCACAUUAUACACAGAUUUAAGUAGUAUGAAACCACCUAUACAAGCAUAGGGAUGGAAUAAGUCAGUGAGAGAGUUGACGUUAAUGGGUAAAAUCUAGUGGGUAACCCCACUGCCAUGUUAUUUAAAGGACACAAGUCCCCGAGGGAGAUGGGAGGAACUGAAAUCCCAAUGCUCAUCCCCAAAUGCUCACUAGAUGGGCAUCUCAGCACAUGACUGGGACUCUAAUGCUUAAAGAUAUUAAGUUAUAUGGCUAAUUUCAAAGACUUUUAAAGCUAAUUUUGAUUAUAAAGAUUUUUUUGCCUAUUGAAACAUCUUUAGAGCCUCUCCUUCAUGUGGACUAGACUCCACUGUACAAUGGCUGCAGUGUGCUAGAGACAUACUGGAACUACAAAGAGGAACAAAGACUAGCUCAUGUCCUGAAACAUACAUCUGGUCUACUUGCUAAGGGAGAGGUGAACACUCAGUAACAUGAUAACCAGCUCAGAGGUGGAAGAAAUAGUAACAAGGGCUCAACUAGAUACUAAACUUCUGAAUUAAAAGAAAAGCAGACACAUCUCAAUUCCCCAGUGGUGGGUGACAUAAAGAUGAUUUGUCUAAUAGUGAGAGAAAAUUAUAUGCUGAUUCUUUGACCAUGGAGUUUCUUUAAAAGGAGUUUGCACAAAGAGCCAUCAAGAUAAAGAAACAUUAACUUGUAUUUUUCAAAAAACAGUGAUUUUUCAUUCCCCACUUAUACCAAAAGAAAAUUCAGCAAAGGCCUUCCUCAUGUCACAUAUCAUAAUGAAUCAAUUUUCUUAACCAAACAUAAACUUGACUGAACAUCUCUAUCUGGAAACACUCUAUUAUGACAACAUUUGUGGAACACUGAAAGAUCUGACCACUUCUCUUUUCCCCAAACAGCACAAGAAACCCAGAUAACAAAUGAAGGUUAUACUUUGUAACAAGAAUAGACAAGGAGACUGAAUCACAGCAAAACACUUAGAAAUCAAGAGAGAGGAAGAAAAGUACCAAGAGAUUAAAGGCAAGGAGAACAAUAAUAGGAAGGAAAUCUCUUGUGAAAAGAAUCAUCUGAUGGUAACUUACUCAGGACAAAAAUGAAUUAAAUCUCUACUUGAAUGACCAAGCUCAAGAUGAGGUAAUUUCAUAAAGUUUAUAGAAAGUCACUUGAAAAUUACACAACUUGUUGUGGUACUCAACUUUUAGAGGGAAAUAAAAGUUCCCACAAGGGAGCUGAUCUUUAGAAAAAUGCAUUUACCAAGUGAGUGCAUGAAUUUUAACUGUUAACUAGGAGAUCAUCCUUAAUUCUUACCUGGACAGAAAAGUCACUCUAGAACUGAUUAAGUUCUUCUGGGUUUCAGGAAGAGAUUCUGACAUAAAAAUAAGAGAAUAAAAAAUUUAAAAUACAUUUAGAAUGCACAGUGCAAGAAAUAAAAAGAAGUGUUAACAGAGCUGGCCCCAGGGCCACUACAGGGUACAAGAGAAUGCUGGGACAAACUCUCAGUUUGUUGAGAAUAGCAAAGGUAUGGUAUAUUGAGCAGAAUUGCCAGGGUGUCAGCAACAGGAAAUAAAUUCUAAUUUAAGGGGUGAAAAAGAACAAAUCAGUUCAUAGCUGGGAAGGAUGCUGGAGCAGCUUGUGGGAGAGAGAAGCUGCUGACUAUAAUUUUAAGAUUAAGGAUACCCUGUGGACAGGAUGGAGGAAGAGAGGAUCCAAGUGGGGAUAAAGAGAGUUAAAGGAGGCAAUGAACUUGAUGGUAUUACCAAAAUCCCAGGGAAUGGGGGAAGAAUACUUCAAGAAACAUGAGAAAACAUAAGGAAAAUACAGUAUGACAAUAUGAUUAUCGCAGUCCACACAAAGUUCACUUUGGUAUCACGAUGUACCAAGUAAAAUUCACUUAUGAUACUGGUUUUUAUGUACAUAUGGUCUAUCUACACUUGUAGAGUAGUGUUUCUCACAUAAACUGUGGUGAAGGAUUAAUAUUUUAAAAUUCCCUGACAGUUAUGGACUGAUAUUUUCAUAAAAUACAAUAUUAUGAAUUGUUAGAAAAUUGCUCUCCCAUUUGCAUGUCAUGGCUAUGGCAAUCUGCAAUCAAAGUUUCUCGACGCUUCUUCUGUUUCUGUACUUACCACAAACCUAAAACAGUUCACAAACUGGCACUUUUACAGACACUGGCACUAGUCCAAUGCCACACUCUGAGCGUACUACUGGUGGGCCAGGAGUUCUCUGUCACAACUACUCAAUCCUGUAAGAAAACAAAUGAGUGAAGCUCUGUUCUAGGAAAACUGUAUUUAUAAAAACAGGCAUAGGGCAGGCUUUGGCCAUGAAUUAUAGUGUGCCUACCCCUGAUCUAGAACAGUGUUCUUCACACUCUAGUGUGCACAGCAAUCAUCUGCUGUAAAAACACAAAUUCUGACCUGAUGGAUAUGGAGUAGGGCUGAGAUUCUGCAUUUCUAAUAGCCUUCAAGUGGAUGUCAAUACUGACAGUCCAUGGUCUACAUUUUGAGCAGUCAGGCUCCACAGACUCUUCUCUGUGAACCCAGAGACUUAGAUGUGAUCUCUAGUAUACUAGGUACUUUAUCCUGAGUCUUUAUUGACCUUAGAAAAGAUUACAUCUGUCAGUCAGGUAAAUGGCUUCCUCUGCUUUAAAGAAAUGAUUAUACUCAGAAGAAAGAGAUAAGGACAGCCUCAUUGGAACCAAAGACACCAAAUAUCAGUUUCCCAUUCUCAUAAUCAGCGUAAAAUGUGACAUAGGUGAUCAAGAAGUUUUGUUGAUUGCUGACUGGACAUGGGAGUGACAAGCUGUGUCCACUAGGAAGAGGAAUCUAGGAUGAUGGUGGGGCUCUAAUUUCUGUCCUGUUAUCUUACCUAAGACAUUUUGCAUUGAUUGAUAAACUG